ACCGUGUACGUACAAGCAGUGGGAGCACGCUUAGGCGUGUGACUGCGUACCUUUUGUAUAAUGGGUCAGCGACUUAUAUUCUGUAGCAAGGUUAACCGAAUAGGGGAGCCGAAGGGAAACCGAGUCUUAACUGGGCGUUAAGUUGCAGGGUAUAGACCCGAAACCCGGUGAUCUAGCCAUGGGCAGGUUGAAGGUUGGGUAACACUAACUGGAGGACCGAACCGACUAAUGUUGAAAAAUUAGCGGAUGACUUGUGGCUGGGGGUGAAAGGCCAAUCAAACCGGGAGAUAGCUGGUUCUCCCCGAAAGCUAUUUAGGUAGCGCCUCGUGAAUUCAUCUCCGGGGGUAGAGCACUGUUUCGGCAAGGGGGUCAUCCCGACUUACCAACCCGAUGCAAACUGCGAAUACCGGAGAAUGUUAUCACGGGAGACACACGGCGGGUGCUAACGUCCGUCGUGAAGAGGGAAACAACCCAGACCGCCAGCUAAGGUCCCAAAGUCAUGGUUAAGUGGGAAACGAUGUGGGAAGGCCCAGACAGCCAGGAUGUUGGCUUAGAAGCAGCCAUCAUUUAAAGAAAGCGUAAUAGCUCACUGGUCGAGUCGGCCUGCGCGGAAGAUGUAACGGGGCUAAACCAUGCACCGAAGCUGCGGCAGCGACGCUUAUGCGUUGUUGGGUAGGGGAGCGUUCUGUAAGCCUGUGAAGGUGUGCUGUGAGGCAUGCUGGAGGUAUCAGAAGUGCGAAUGCUGACAUAAGUAACGAUAAAGCGGGUGAAAAGCCCGCUCGCCGGAAGACCAAGGGUUCCUGUCCAACGUUAAUCGGGGCAGGGUGAGUCGACCCCUAAGGCGAGGCCGAAAGGCGUAGUCGAUGGGAAACAGGUUAAUAUUCCUGUACUUGGUGUUACUGCGAAGGGGGGACGGAGAAGGCUAUGUUGGCCGGGCGACGGUUGUCCCGGUUUAAGCGUGUAGGCUGGUUUUCCAGGCAAAUCCGGAAAAUCAAGGCUGAGGCGUGAUGACGAGGCACUACGGUGCUGAAGCAACAAAUGCCCUGCUUCCAGGAAAAGCCUCUAAGCAUCAGGUAACAUCAAAUCGUACCCCAAACCGACACAGGUGGUCAGGUAGAGAAUACCAAGGCGCUUGAGAGAACUCGGGUGAAGGAACUAGGCAAAAUGGUGCCGUAACUUCGGGAGAAGGCACGCUGAUAUGUAGGUGAAGUCCCUCGC
rnacentral:rRNA from 1 species